AGGUCGUAGGCACAGUUAUGGAAACCAUGAAGUCACGGUUUGCCCAUCUUCACGUUCUGUUAGCAUUUGAGUUUUUGAAAAAUCUCUUGGGUGCAUCCUUAUGCUGCAUCCACACCGGAUACAAUUUGCAUGGCAGGGGCUUCGAGUUUUAUUAAGUGAAUGAACAGACGUAAUCUGAGGUCUUGCGGUAUGAUUUUGGCAUCAGGUGUGACGCGAUUUGGGCGGCAGACACGGUGUGUCAACCAAUCGUAGACUCAGCUCUGGGCAUGUGACGUUGUCAGUGACUAGAUCAGAAGGUUAAAAAAAUAUCCAACGCGGCUGCUCAUUGCAAGGAUUUUCCUACUGAACUUUCUUUUCUUAACCCGAUGGGGCCGGAGACUGUCCCGGCUACUUUUGGGUGUAGGUGGGAUACAGCCUGGACAUGUCACCAGCCUAUUUCAGAGUCCGUGGAGCUGAAGUGAUUGAGCUAGCUAUGCUAGCCAGCCACCCGGUGGAUAGACUAGCGAGGAAGCAUCGCCUCCUAGGGUCCGGGUAGACAAGAGCUGCCACGGAUGUCAUUGUAGCGGGCGCGAUCUCUUCAGCUACAUGGGCUUAUGAUGUUUUUCUUAUUUUCAUCAAAAAGAUUUUCAAUUUUUUCCCCUCUCGGGUUAAUGCGGAACAGAAAUUCUUCCAACUGGGCCACAGACAGACAGAAGUAACGUUUAAAAUGGCCGACACAUCCAGACGCAGCUGGUGCUGCAAGAGCGAAGUACUCCUCAACAGGAGAGACUCUGAAUCUAACCAAGAUACGACGAUGUGCUUGCCAGCGCUUCUGUAGAUCUCUCCAAAACAUAUAAACCUAAGCUACUCACUCAACAUCAUCCAUGUUUUCCAUGAUGCGGCAAUGAAUGAAGUCCAGAAGAAUUUGGCAGUUGCUCCGCAGCCGGGGCGUCAAGGCGUUAGGGCAACAUCAAGCAGUAAAUUUGACGCGCAAAUCGUGUCUGGUUUGAACGCAGAAUUAGUUAGAUUGGCUGUCAGAAUGAAGAGGAGUUUGAGAAUACUCUGCAAAAACCGAAUCUUAAGAAAGUAAAAAUGCUCUUGUUUCAAGAAAAAAAAUCUUAUUUUCUGUCUUGCAAAAAAAUGUAAUCAAGUAAUUUUUUCAAUACAUGAUUUUAGUUUGAGAAAACAUGUUUUAGUGACUACAAUUUUUAUACUUAAGAUAUGGAUUCUUGGUAAGACCAGUUUUUUUUUUUUUUUUUACCCCAUUGGCUGAAUUAUUAUUUUUUUAUUGGCUUAUUUAAAAAAAAAUCAAAUUUUUACAAUACUGACUAAUUUCUAGAGGGCUAUUUUUGCAUUGUAACCCAUGAACUAAGAAACUGAAAUGAUAGUACAUUCGUUCCUAAUAUAUAUAAUUACAUUGUAAACAUUGAUGGAAAACUUUGCCAAACUCCGGUUCAGGUUUUCCACGCCACCUCUCCAGACAAAGAAAUUCAAUUAAAGGCUCCUCUUCCCACUUGGGCCGGUCUCCAGGGCGCAUUUUGCAGGCGACUCUACCCCGUAAGAAAUUAGAAAAUGCCACAAUAAAACCCGAAAAAACUGUAGAAAAAAUGAUAGGAAGUUAAAUUAUGAAAGCUCUCAAGCCGCCCUCCGUAAACGCACUCCUGACUUUAGCUGGAAAAAUCCAAAGACGACAAAGUAGCUCAGAUCAUUCAAGGAAAGCCAUCUUCUAACAUAAAAAAUGCCACUGCUCCUACAACACAAGAAAUCAGAUGGCAGUGGAGGGAGCAUCGGCUGGAGGCGAUAAUGCAGCUUUAGCUUAACCAGGAGGUGAGUCUCAAAAGAGGUUUUUCUGAUCUUUAUUCAUAGUUUCUUUAGACUGGAAAAUCAAAAAGGGAGUUUCACAUUUUUGCCUUUUUUUGUUUGUUUUCUCUAAAUGAUUGGAUAAUUAGGUUUAUUCUCACCAAACGCACAAAUGUGUCAUGAAAUGUGUGGCACUAGUGUCUCUGUCAUGUUGAAGUUUCACCUCUGUUUCUUGGAGCAUCUUAAUUGUCUCAAACAUGUAUGCAAGCAGCACGUUGGAGUCAUGAUACCCCAAGGCAUAGAUUAAUUAAGCUAUGAAAACCCAUGAGCAGGGAGCGUUCAGCAGGUGCCUGUUUGUCCUGGUAUGGGACUUGUUUUUUGGCAGAGGUGCAGCGGCUCAUUAUAAAUCUAUAAUUAAGUUACAAUUUUAUUUGCCUUUUUUUAACCUGUUGUCAUUUGGGGAUCUGCAGCUCUUAAACCCUGUGAAGUGCUCUCUUAGCUGCACCAAUUUUGAGCUCUUUGGAGGGGCUGUUCUUUGAGAGGUUUGUGAUGAGCGAUCCUUUCUGUCUGUCACUGUUUGUCCCAAAACCACGAGUGAUCAUGUUUUGAGUUCAUGAAUUUUUAAAUUAUUUAUUUCUAAUCCAAAACAAGCAGAUUUGAUGCCUCCUCUCUGUUUUUGGUACAAAAGCAAACGUUGCUCCCUCAUUGCUUGGCUUGCUGAUGAAACGCUCCUCAGAGCCCCUUUAUUUUGGCUCGUCUCACACUUAGUUGGCAGUGAGAACUGAAUUCAUUGAAGCAGCUCUUUUAGACCAACAUCUUUUUUUUUUCUUUUUUCGGGAGUCACCUGCUAUCAGAGAUGGAGGGUGAGGUACACAGCAGGAGCCCAGUGGAGGGUUAAGCAGACAAAAAUAGAAUGGGAGAUCCUGGUAAUGUCUAUGAAGAGCUUGAUCAAGCUAACAAGGCAGCCUGCAGGGAGGCAGACCAGCCAGCAAAUUGAGGCUAACUACACUCGUACUUGUUUAGCAGUUUGGAAAGCAUCCAGCAUGAGGACUAGAAAAUCUGUAAAGAUUUUUUAUUAAGAUAAAGAAGUUCUAAACUUCACUGUAUUUGCUGUAAUAAUAGUUUUGUGCUUUUGAUUUUAAGAUUUCUGGUUAAAGUCACAUGCAUGGUAGGUUGACCUGUAUGGGUGCUGCAGGUUAUAGCGUUGUCUGGACCAGUGGGGGGGUCAUAGAAAGGAGCGGCUGCAUCGGGAGCGUGCACUUACACAAUGGGCAGGGUAGGGAAAAUAAAAAAAAAAACAUCUAUAUAGUGUACCUACUUCAUAAUUACUUACAUUGUAGGGGUUUAAAAAAAUAUUGAUACAGUAAAAUAUCACGAUACUUUAUAUGGCGAUACUUGUAUCGGUUUAAAACACUGCUAAGGGGAUAUUUAUUUAAUCAUCUAUUAGCAAACAUCUAGUUUAAUCUUGCUUUUGUUUUCUUCUUAAAUAUUUCCUAAAUAACCAAAAAACAAACAAAAAAAC